rnacentral:rRNA from 1 species
CCUACGGGCGGCAGCAGUGGGGAAUAUUGGUCAAUGGGCGCGAGCCUGAACCAGCCACGUCGCGUGAGGGAUGACUGCCCUACGGGUUGUAAACUUCUUUUAUAAAGGAAUAAAGUGAGUCACGUGUGCCUUUGUGUAUGUACGUUAUGAGUAAGGAUCGGCUAACCCCGUGCCAGCCGCCGCGGUAAUACGGAGGGUCCGAGCGUUAUCCGGAUUUAUUGGGUGUAAAGGGAGCGUAGAUGGGUUGUUAAGUCAGUUGUGAAAGUUUGCGGCUCAACCGUAAAAUUGCAAUUGAUACUGGCAGUCUUGAGUGCAGUUGAGGUUGGUGGAAUUCGUGGUGUAGCGGUGAAAUGCUUAGAUAUCACGAAGAACUCCGAUGGCGAAGGCAGCUUACUAAACUGCAACUGACACUGAUGCUCGAAAGUGUGGGUAGCAAACAGGAUUAGAUACCCUAGUAGUC